AGGAGAAGCUUGCUUCUCGCUGACGAGCGGCGGACGGGUGAGUAAUACUUAGGAAUCUACCUAGUAGUGGGGGAUAGCUCGGGGAAACUCGAAUUAAUACCGCAUACGACCUACGGGAGAAAGGGGGCAACUUGUUGCUCUCGCUAUUAGAUGAGCCUAAGUCGGAUUAGCUAGAUGGUGGGGUAAAGGCCUACCAUGGCGACGAUCUGUAGCUGGUCUGAGAGGAUGAUCAGCCACACCGGGACUGAGACACGGCCCGGACUCCUACGGGAGGCAGCAGUGGGGAAUAUUGGACAAUGGGGGCAACCCUGAUCCAGCCAUGCCGCGUGUGUGAAGAAGGCCUUUUGGUUGUAAAGCACUUUAAGCAGUGAAGAAGACUCCAUGGUUAAUACCCAUGGACGAUGACAUUAGCUGCAGAAUAAGCACCGGCUAACUCUGUGCCAGCAGCCGCGGUAAUACAGAGGGUGCAAGCGUUAAUCGGAAUUACUGGGCGUAAAGCGAGCGUAGGUGGCUUGAUAAGUCAGAUGUGAAAGCCCCGGGCUUAACCUGGGAACGGCAUCUGAUACUGUUAGGCUAGAGUAGGUGAGAGGAAGGUAGAAUUCCAGGUGUAGCGGUGAAAUGCGUAGAGAUCUGGAGGAAUACCGAUGGCGAAGGCAGCCUUCUGGCAUCAUACUGACACUGAGGUUCGAAAGCGUGGGUAGCAAACAGGAUUAGAUACCCUGGUAGUCCACGCCGUAAACGAUGUCUACUAGUCGUUGGGUCCCUUGAGGACUUAGUGACGCAGCUAACGCAAUAAGUAGACCGCCUGGGGAGUACGGCCGCAAGGUUAAAACUCAAAUGAAUUGACGGGGGCCCGCACAAGCGGUGGAGCAUGUGGUUUAAUUCGAUGCAACGCGAAGAACCUUACCUGGUCUUGACAUAUCUAGAAUCCUGCAGAGAUGCGGGAGUGCCUUCGGGAAUUAGAAUACAGGUGCUGCAUGGCUGUCGUCAGCUCGUGUCGUGAGAUGUUGGGUUAAGUCCCGCAACGAGCGCAACCCUUGUCCUUAGUUACCAGCGGUUUGGCCGGGAACUCUAAGGAUACUGCCAGUGACAAACUGGAGGAAGGCGGGGACGACGUCAAGUCAUCAUGGCCCUUACGACCAGGGCUACACACGUGCUACAAUGGUAGGUACAGAGGGCAGCUACACAGCGAUGUGAUGCGAAUCUCAAAAAGCCUAUCGUAGUCC
rnacentral:rRNA from 1 species